GCAUGCCUGCGCUUCGCUUGGUGCUUAUCCUAACCCUGAACUGGUCCGCAGCCGGGAGUGAGGUGGUGCUGGAACAAGGUGCCCAGGCCUGGGCAGUCCGGGAGGGCGAAGAAGUGACCUUCCAGUGCCGUGUGACGGGAGGGGAGAUGAGCAACUACUGGAUGUCCUGGUACAGAAAGGAGCAGCAGGGCCCCCUGACUGGAUUUACCGAGAAGGGGACCACUAUGGAGAAGGCUUCCAGGGCCGCUUGGUAGGGAAAGUUGAUAGCUCCAACGACAGGUUCACCCUCAGGAUCCUGCGCGCAGAGCUGCGAGACAGAGCGGUGUAUUACUGCGCUUCCAGUCCCCACGGUGCCGCAGCUGUGCUGCCGAGCAGAGCAAAAACUGACAGGGCGGCGGGAGGGGGCGGGCAUCGCUUGCAAACCACGGACCACGGCCAGCUCUGGGGCACACGUGGCUGGGGGCUCUCUCUCUCUGUGUGUGCGUGUGAAACUGUCAGGGAAGCCAUCGGCCAGAACGGGAAGAAGUGCAUUUAUCGGACAGCAUUAGCAUAGAAUUUAGUUCUGUUUAUACCAAGUCUAGGUUGGGAUCUUUCAACAGAGAAUAAUUAAUUA